UACGGAGGAUGCAAGCGUUGUUCGGAGUUACUGGGCGUAAAGAGUGCGUAGGCGGUUUUCUAAGUUUGGUGUGAAAUCUCCCGGCUUAACUGGGAGGGUGCGCCGAAAACUGGAAGGCUUGAGUAUGGGAGAGGUAAGCGGAAUUCCUGGUGUAGCGGUGAAAUGCGUAGAUAUCAGGAGGAACACCUGCGGUGUAGACGGCUUACUGGACCAUAACUGACGCUGAGGCACGAAAGCGUGGGUAGCAAACAGG
rnacentral:rRNA from 1 species